AUUAUCCUUGUCAGCUCUUCUCAGUAUGCUGCUAAUGCUCUUGUCUGCUCUCUUGGUGCUGAUUUUGCGGUCAAAGAUCUUGGGAAGCUUCACUACUUUCUUGGAGUUGAGGUCACUUCUCGUGCUACUGGUCUUGUCCUUACGCAGAAGAAGUACUCCUUGGAGUUGUUACAAAGAGCUGGCAUGCUGAAGUGCAAACCGACCACCACACCCAUGUCGUCUACCGACAAGAUAACAGUUGUUGAUGGUGAGCUUUUGUCUCCUGCGGACGCCACAGAGUACAGGAGCAUUGUUGGUGGACUUCAGUACUUGACGAUCACGAGACCAGAUAUCUCUUAUGCUGUUAACAGGGUUUGUCAGUAUCUUCAGGCUCCCAGAGAUACUCAUUGGGCUGCUGUUAAACGCAUUCUUCGUUAUGUUCAGUUCACCCUGACAUUUGGUAUGCAUAUUUGGCCGACUUCCUCUCGGGUCCUUUCGGCCUUCUCUGAUGCAGAUUGGGCUGGUAGCCCAGAUGAUAGGCGAUCC
rnacentral:rRNA from 1 species